UAGGGAAUAUUGGACAAUGGGUGAGAGCCUGAUCCGGCCAUGCCGCGUGCGGGAAGAAGGCCUUCGGGUUGUAAACCGCUUUUGUCAGGGAAGAAACGCUCUGGGCUAAUACCCUGGGGUAAUGACGGUACCUGAAGAAUAAGCACCGGCUAACUACGUGCCAGCAGCCGCGGUAAUACGUAGGGUGCAAGCGUUAAUCGGAAUUACUGGGCGUAAAGCGCACGUAGGUGGAUGUUUAAGUCGGAUGUGAAAUCCCUGGGCUUAACCUAGGAAUUGCAUUCGAUACUGGGCGUCUAGAGUAUAGUAGAGGGAAGUGGAAUUUCCGGUGUAGCGGUGAAAUGCGUAGAUAUCGGAAGGAACAUCAGUGGCGAAAGCGGCUUCCUGGACUAAUACUGACACUUAGGUGCGAAAGCGUGGGGAGCAAACAGGAUUAGAUACCCAAGUAGUCCCUGAGCGGGCUGGCAAGGCGCAU
rnacentral:rRNA from 1 species